rnacentral:tRNA from 1 species
GGUGAGGUAUCCAAGUGGCUGAAGGAGCACGCCUGGAAAGUGUGUAACGGAAAAACGUAUCGAGGGUUCGAAUCCCUCUCUCACCGCCA